rnacentral:rRNA from 1 species
UAGGGAAUCUUCCACGAUGGGCGAAAGCCUGAUGGAGCAACGCCGCGUGUGUGAUGAAGGGUUUCGGCUCGUAAAACACUGUUGUAAGAGAAGAAUGACAUUGAGAGUAACUGUUCAAUGUGUGACGGUAUCUUACCAGAAAGGAACGGCUAAAUACGUGCCAG